rnacentral:lncRNA from 1 species
AUGCAGGGGUAUUCAAGUAAAUCCACAGAUACUCAAACAAGAACUUCUGGCAAUCCUUUCCAAAAAAAAGGGGCUUCAACAAAUAAAAAUGUUCCUACUGCUGCCCUGCUGUCUGAGCCUGUUUCAACGCAAGAUGAGAGAAGCCAGUGUGAAACUUCAGAGAAUUCAGGGAAAGCAUUGUUUCACAAUUCAGCAUCCAGUCAAGAGGAGGUGAUGUGCAGGUUAACCUCCAGCAGAAAAACAGAAAUAAGUGAACAAGGAGAACUGGGAGAUAAACACGAAGCAGCACAGUUGGAAUGUACUGAAAGCCAAACAGAAUCUUCAAAAACUCCAUUACUCAGAAAAAGUAGUUCUGAAUUUGCAGAAGAACUGCAAAGGAAGAGAGGAGAGAUCCCAAACCCACAGACUGGGACCACAAAGCAAAGUCUGAAAGAAACAACUCCAUCUAAUAAGGAUGACAGGGAAUCUUGUUCCUUUCCCUCUAGAAGCACAUCAUCAUUUGUGCAGUAUGACAACAUAGCUGCUGAUGCUGUAGUUGUGGUAUGUUUGCUUCUGAAUGUCUUUGCAUUUUUGAGAUGUGAGAAACAAUGAAUUAGUCGCUUCAGGAGUGAGUAGGGGGGCACGUUGUGUUCAAGUUUUGAGAGAUUUAUCUGCUGCAGUGAAUGGUUUCAUGUUAGACUUGGUUUCUUCCUAGACUUGUGCAUGUCUGGGAAACUUAAAAGGGAAAUAAGUAGCCUUCUCUGUGCACGUCUAUCCGUAAGCAUUUUGGUUUCUCAGAAAGUUGUGGUCUUGGUAUCUGAGUUGGCAGCACAAGCAUCUAUAUAUGCUUAUACUUGCAUGCAAAUGCACUCUUAACGUUAAGAGCAGCCUUUUCUUUUUCUAUUAGGCUCCACAUAAUGAACCAUCUGAUAAACCUCCUCAUCGUGAUGAAGAUCGAGAGAAGGAAGAGGAGCCAACCAAAAUCUCAGAGUAUUUUUUCAGUGACAUCUUUAUGGAAGUAGAUGACCCAGAAUAGCAAAAUAGGCUUUAUAGAAAUGGUGGGAUCUUAGUGCAACUAAAUUAAAAGCUAUUAUUUUUUAGGAAAACAUUGUUUGUUUUAAUAUUAACUAUGCCAAAUUUAGCAUCAGUUACUGUUAGUAACUUCCAUCAGGAUGGAAUCAUUUUCUUCUAAAUGGAUGUUUUCAAAACGUUGACAUAAGCUAAACAACUACGUUGGUGUCAUUGGACCAGAACAGUGGCUGCAGGAUUAAUUUUCACUUGUUUGGAUUUUGAUAAUAAGUGCACAUUGUCUUCCAGAAAAGUGCAAUGCAAAAAAAUGCUUAUUCUUGUGACGAGCUGCUCCUUUGGAUUUAAUGCUGAAGACUGCGGUACUGAUUGUACAAGUUCUUUACUUCUUUUUGUGAAGUAUGCUGUAUUAGUAUGCUAUGAGGAAAAAAAUGAACCUUUUAUUUGCAGUGUAAUCUCUGUAGAUCAGGCUGCAAACAAGGAAAGUACCAUCAUAAAUGCAUAGUUCUGUUCAGCACUGCGGGUAUUUUUAUUAGCAUCUCCAAAUAUGUAUUUUUAUAUUUAAGAAGACUUGCAUAAGCUAAAAGACCCUAGCCUGAAAAGCCCAAUGACUUUAGCUCCUUUAAAAUGUACAGAGGAAAAACCUGAAUAGCAUUUCAUUUAUACAAUGAUAAUCCUUGGAACUGUCCCAUUGGAGUGAGAGGAAGAGGUUGAUGUUUCUCAGUAUAAAUGCCAGUUUCCUUCUGUUGUGAUUAGCAGGAAACUAAGCACCAGACAAAGUGGGAUGAAGGAGAACAGAAGUUGUGGGUUGAGAUAAAAACUAUUUACUAAGACAGAAAAGGAGAAUGAAGGCAAACGUGCGAUAACAUCAACAUCUCUACAGUGCAACUACUUCUCGCUCACCGACCAACACCCAGCUAACAAUACAGCUGCCUGCUGACUGAUGCCCUGCUACCAACUCAAGGUCUCACUACGUGCCAACUGCAAGCAGCAGCCCCUCCCCACAUCUUUACAGCCUUCUGCAUAACGCCGUGUGGUGUGGAAUAAACCCCCUUGCUUCGUUCA